rnacentral:rRNA from 1 species
CCUACGGGAGACUGCAGUGGGGAAUAUUGGGCAAUGGGCGCAAGCCUGACCCAGCAACGCCGCGUGAAGGAAGAAGGCUUUCGGGUUGUAAACUUCUUUUCUCAGGGACGAAGCAAGUGACGGUACCUGAGGAAUAAGCCACGGCUAACUACGUGCCAGCAGCCGCGGUAAUACGUAGGUGGCAAGCGUUAUCCGGAUUUACUGGGUGUAAGGGGCGUGUAGGCGGGAAAGCAAGUCAGAUGUGAAAACCAUGGGCUCAACCUGCGGCCUGCGUUUGAAACUGUUUUUCUUGAGUACUGGAGAGGCAGACGGAAUUCCUAGUGUAGCGGUGAAAUGCGUAGAUAUUAGGAGGAACACCAGUGGCGAAGGCGGUCUGCUGGACAGCAACUGACGCUGAGGCGCGAAAGCGUGGGGAGCAAACAGGAUUAGAUACCCGAGUAGUC